UGUACGCAUCGCCCGCUGGGAAAUGUAGUCCCCAGCAGGGAACCAGAUGGCGCCUAGCCCGGGCUCCGGGAGGCCGGCUCCACCUAUUGGAAUAAGACCACGUUUGUGAACCGCGGGACCCGGCCGGAAACACGAGUGUGAAUCCUCUGAUGCUGAGCCAGGUGUGCAGGCUGCCUGAAGGAUUUUGUACAUUCCUUGCACUUAUAUGGUUUUUCUCCAGUAUGGAUUCUUUGAUGUACAAUAAGAAGUGGGACACUCAUGACUGAAACUUGUAAUUUUCUCCACUGACACAUCAUCAAACACAAAUUGCUUCAGAGAUAAUUCUUGUGUCUUAUGUAGAGAUUCGCCAUCUGAAAAAUGUAAAAAAAAAAAAAGUAUUCUUUAUCAUGUGGAAUUAACAACAAAAAAAUCUAAAGUAAAGAUAUUCAAAACUAUUUAAUAAAUUCCAUACAAUCACACAGAAGUAUCUCAAUUGGAAAAUGCGCAAGGAUGUACAUGAGAAUAAAAGCUUUGUGAUAGGGACUGGAGAGAUGGCCCAGAGGUUAAGAGCACUGGCUGCUCUUCCAGGGGUCAUGAGUUUAAUUCAGCAACCACGUGGUGGCUUACAACCAUCUAUAAUGAAAUCUGGUACCCUUUCUUUUUUGUUUUUUUGUAAAUAUAUGAGGUUUUUUAAAUUGUAUAUGUGUUCGAACCUGGGACUGGUGCCCUCUUCUGGCGUGAAGGUGUACAUGCAAAGCACAACAUUGUAUACAAAAUAAAUAAAUAAAUCUUAAACAAAGAAAAAAAGGUGAGUUCCCUAGUAAUGAGAACAGGAACUGUCUAUGACAUGAACUCUGUGGCUGGCUCUUUGACUAUCUCCCCAUGAGGGGGAACAGCCUUGCCAGGCCACAGAGGAUAAUGCAGCUAGUCCUGAUGAUACUGACAGACUAGGAUCAGAUGGAAGGGGAGGAGGACCUCCCCUAUCAGUGGACUUGGAGAGGGGCUUGGGAGGAGAAGAGGAAAGGAGGGUGGGAUAGGGAGGGAAUGAGGAGGAGGCUACAGCUGGGAUACAAAGCAAAUAAACUGUAAUUAAUAUAAAAAUUUUUUAAAAGCUUUGUGAUAAAUUAACCUUGUGAUAAUGUAACCUGCUUACAUUUGUUAAUCUGUGGUAAAUUAACCUUGACUACCAAGCCUAUUGAAUGAAAAAUGACAUAAAAGCCCAAUAAAACACUUCUGCAUUUUUA